GGGUUUGUUAUUGAAAACCGGUUCCUGUUCAGAACCGGGUCCAUGUGUUCUAAUUCCAUGGCACCGUUUGGCAGCUCGCUUAACAAUUAUCCCGGAGGCGCUGCCUCCCCCACCCCCUACCCUCCAUACUUCAGACUCACACCCUAUUCUGGGGAAGAGCAGGUUUCUCAUCUUCCAACACCAAAGCCCCUAAGGGCAAAUUUAACGGGUUUUUUUGUCCUUCAAAAACAAAUGUCAGAGCUGUUUUUCAAAGCAAUUAUUCUUUACUUUCACAGUGUUCCUGUCUGAAUCAGAUGAGAACUAUAACAGCGUUUCAGACAUGGACUUGAGAAUAGCCAUGCCAGUUAAGGCUACGCUCUCUGUUAGAGUUCGUAUAAACUUUGCAACAGACCAAGUUUACCAGUAGGUGGGGGGUUGGAGGGAGUACUGUACUUGGAGAUAAGGCGUGUCAAAGUCUGCUAUAAAAGGGCUGCAUCUGUGCCCUUCUAUCACAUCCAUCUCUUCUCCACAAGCUUGACGACAUCUCCAAAAAAACUGCCACCAUGUCUGGGAUUGAUGAUGCAAUCAAGACUCUGAAGAAAAUCUUUCAUAAGUACGCUCAAAGAGAUGGAAAGAAAACCACCAUUUCCAAGCGGGAGGUUGCUAGACUCCUUAAAACUGAGUGUCCUGGAUUUCUAAUAACGAGGACUAAGGCCGAAGUGACUGAGCAUUUCAAGGAGAUGGAUGAGGAUGGCGAUGGUGUUGUUGAUUUUGCCGAGUACAUGAAAUUUGUUGGUAAACUUGCUGAAUUCAGUAAAUGUUUUGACCUGGUUUGAAAGCUCUGCUUUCUUCUCUAUUUUCCUAUUAAUGAUUAUUCUUCAGUGUGAGAUAAAGCAGAAAGCUGUGACAUGCAGAAUGUCUGCAGUUACCCAUAACUGUAUAACAUUGUGAAAAAAUGGGAAAUUAAAUAUUAUUGGCACUUCAA